GACGAACGCUGGCGGCGUGCUUAACACAUGCAAGUCGAACGGAAAGGCCCUGCUUUUGCGGGGUGCUCGAGUGGCGAACGGGUGAGUAACACGUGAGUAACCUGCCCUGGACUUUGGGAUAACUUCAGGAAACUGGGGCUAAUACCGGAUAGGAGCUCCUGCUGCAUGGUGGGGGUUGGAAAGUUUCGGCGGUUGGGGAUGGACUCGGGGCUUAUCAGCUUGUUGGUGGGGUAGUGGCUUAGCAAGGCUUCGACGGGUAGCCGGCCUGAGAGGGUGACCGGCGACAUUGGGACUGAGGUACGGCCCAGACUCCUACGGGGGGCAGCAGUGGGGAGUAUUGCACAAUGGGCGGAAGCCUGAUGCAGCGACGCCGCGUGCGGGAUGACGGCCUUCGGGUUGUAAACCGCUUUCGCCUGUGACGAAGCGUGAGUGACGGUAAUGGGUAAAGAAGCACCGGCUAACUACGUG
rnacentral:rRNA from 1 species